rnacentral:rRNA from 1 species
GAGUUUGAUCGUGGCUCAGGAUGAACGCCGGCGGUGUGCCUAAUACAUGCAAGUCGUACGCACUGGCCCAACUGAUUGAUGGUGCUUGCACCUGAUUGACGAUGGAUCACCAGUGAGUGGCGGACGGGUGAGUAACACGUAGGUAACCUGCCCCGGAGCGGGGAUAACAUUUGGAAACAGAUGCUAAUACCGCAUAACAACAAAGGCCACAUGGCUUUUGUUUGAAAGAUGGCUUUGGCCAUCACUCUGGGAUGGACCUGCGGUGCAUUAGCUAGUUGGUAAGGUAACGGCUUACCAAGGCGAUGAUGCAUAGCCGAGUUGAGAGACUGAUCGGCCACAAUGGAACUGAGACACGGUCCAUACUCCUACGGGAGGCAGCAGUAGGAAUCUUCACAAUGGCGCAAGCCUGAUGGAGCAACACCGCGUGAGUGAAGAAGGGUUUCGGCUCGUAAAGCUCUGUUGUUGGAG